GAUCCCUUACACUUUUCAAUAAUCUAAUCCAAGCUAAUUCAAAUGACUUAGGUUAGGUCUAGACCAGGUUUAUUUUUGGGUAGGUUGGUUCCAGAACAUGUCCAUCUAAUCCACUUGCAGACCUAACUGCAAGCAACUGGUUUAGAUUGUUUUGUCCCUAAUUAAUUGUAAUUGCAGCAUAAGACUUGGCACAAUGGAAAGGUUCUCCCGUUGUGACCUAUGUGUCACAAGUUUGAAACAUAGAAACAGUCUCUCCGUAUACAAUGUAAGAGUUCAUGCAUCUAACCCUUUCCAGACCCUGCAGUAGUGGGAACCUCGUGCGCUCGGGCGCCCCUUUUUUUAAUUGUAAUUGCAGCAUCAUUUCUCUCUCAACACAAGGACACAGAUAAACAUAUAUCCGCUUUCGUGCUUGUGCGUGUAGGUAUUGAGUUUAUGUAAGACAUUUUUCUGUCAAAGAAAAGCAACAUUAAAUGCUCCAUACCACAGCCAGCAGUUUGACUUGGACAUGUAAAGCAUUAACUCAACCUAGUCCGACCCAACUUGACCCAAUCUAGCAAACAUGUUCCUUCCGGUAUCCACAAGUCAACUACAGGGCAAGAAGCUUGCCUAGUUAAUAGAUCAGAGAAGGCUCAUGUUGACGGUUAUGAACUGUUAAGGUCUUGACAUGGGAAAAAAGAAUCAUAUUUCAUAUUUCUCUAUAGAAACUACCUACAUCAAACUCUCAUAUGUACACACUACAAUUUAUUUUGGUCUCUUAAAACUUGUAAUGGAAGUUGCAAAUAGGUUUGCUAAGAGAGAUGCACAAAUCAAGUGUGAGAUUAAAUUUGUAAUCUAAAUAAUAAAAGGAAGGGAGACGACCAUAGCAAACCUAUUAUUGAAUUAAGAAACCCUAAACCCAACCCACCCUUCCAUCCCCUCCAUUGGUCCAACUGCUUUCCCGUCUUUCCCUUUCCUCCCGCCACCUCUUCUUCUCCUCUUGUUUUCCCUUUUGUCCUUUCCACUCCCCCACUUCAACUCCUUUGCCCACCCUCCACUGACUUGCAACUUCUUACUGGGUAUUUUCAGUUUUGUCCCUCACACCAUGUACUCCUCAUACUGAUUAAUAAAGGUUGGGGGAUUGGGGGAAGUAUUUCGCUACUUCCAUUUUCACUCAAAAAAAAGAUAUUUUAAGUUUUUUCUCUUGAGCUAUAUAACUAACCCACUUGGACUCCUCUCCUCCCAUCCUCCACUGACUUGCAACUUCUUGAUAUUUUAAGUUUUCUCUCUUGAUCUAUUACAUGUCCCCUUACAUACACGGAUGCAUAUAGAAAUACAUAUGUAGAUAUACUAGCUAGUUUCUGAAGUUAUUUUUGAGCCCCACUUGAUAUGAGCCCGCACCCCCCAUCCCCAAGCCACACGCUGCAUAUAAUAUUUAAAUUAUUGAUGGAGGUACCAACCCUCCCCAAUCCACUGCCAUGCACACUCCAUGCCAAUUGGCUGGACACAUUUAUUUCCUUUCUUGUUCCCUUUGCCAUUGCUAAUUUACAAUUUCAUAGAGAAAUCCUAUGAGAUGUAACAAGAUAAAUAAUAAUCUUAGUCCAAUAAUAACCAAAAAACUGGCAACAAAGGAUUAAGAGAGGAAUAGUUGCAUACCUGCCCUUUGGGUUAGCACCUUUACGAAACCAGUGAAGAAUAGUGUCCUCAGCAAGCACAUCUAGAUCAUAAAGUGACCUUAUGAUUUCAGGAAAUAACUUCAUCAGUUUGGCAUCCUCAUAGCAUU
rnacentral:lncRNA from 1 species